rnacentral:lncRNA from 1 species
AUGGAAGAGGAUCUUGUGCUCGCCCAGGACUGCACAGAGGGCACUCCUGAUACUCCUGGAUGUGCUGGGGGACUGGCCAGAGUACAGCAGGUGCACCUCGGAUUGGAAGACCACGGGUGUCUUUGCCCUGGCUGUGAGUUUCUGGAACUGGCCUGCACUCACCCCAAGGCUGCCUCUCCAGCAGCUCUGCACCCUCCUUCCCCCACUGCAUCUCCCUGCCUCAGGCACUGGGCUGAAACCAGGCCUAGGGGCAGCUUCAGGGCCACCAGGCCAGGUUCUCUCCCUGCGUCUUCCCCGGCCUCUCCCUGCCACACUCAGGCCCUGCUACACGGACACCUGGACACUGAGCCCUGUCUCAGGCUGCUUUGUCCUCUGCAGGCAACUGUGGUGAUGUGGAAGAUCCUCCAGGUGCCCUGCUGGCCAGAAGCUUUAACAGUGUAUUUCCCCCAGCUCUUUGUGCAUCUGCUCCUCCAAGUGUUCUUCAGCACAGAACAGAUGCCAGAGGAGGGCUGGAACUUCUGGAAGAGAUGCCAGGAAGAACACGGCUUUGCCACCAGCCCCAACAGGUGCUCCAUCCCAGUCCUCCUGCCCCUGCCACAUCUCAAGGGCAGAAGCCAGUGCUCCCAGCAUGACCUGGACUUUGCUGUGCACACAGGUUUGCAGUGCAGACCCUCAAGUCUCUCCUCUGCCAAAUGCACCAUGAGGAAGCCGUGCUGUCAAUGGAACGCAAGUGUGGCUGGGACACGCUGCUGUGUGCUGACACCCACCACUAUGCUGUGGGUCUGCUGGCCAGGUGAGACCCCCUUCUCCCCACUGCAUCUGGCAUUUCUGCCCUGGGCCCAGGGCCUGGCCCAACACCGUCCCCGUGCUUGUGGGCCAGAGGGCCUUGUUAGCAAGGGAUGGCCAAGCAGACUGGGAAAAGGCUGGGAGAGGAAAGAUCCCACAAGGAGCUGCCUCCCAAGGAGCCCAUGUCCAUUCACAUCCUUGGGGAGAAAGACCAGGCCCAUGGGAGUGAGUCCCCUGGCAGAGAUUUGCUCAGGGUCCUGGUCCCAUUUUUACCCUGCCAGGGAGAUGCGCCACGCUUCUCUAGGGUUGUGUUCCAGAAUUGCAUUGCACUUCCUCUGGCUGCUCAGCACACAAGAGCCACGCUGGGAUCUGCCUGCCCUGGCAUUCCUUGUGGAGGUGAGCCUGAUGGCCAGCACUACCUCCCUGAGCUGCCUGCCAGCUCUCUGCCCUCUCAUAGCCGCAGCUGCCUGGGACGCUGCCCGUGCCCUGUGCUGCUGCCUGGGCCCGGCCCUGUGCGGUUCCAGGCUUCUGCCGGCUGGCUUCCCUGUCACUGCCCUGUGCCUUUCAGAUCCCGGAGUACCUGGACUCCAGUGA